UAAAUGUGGAGGCGGGAGUGAAGUUUGUCCAGCUGCCCUUCAAAACCACAGGUCUGCCUGAAGACAUCAAAGUGGAGUGGAGUGACAGUCACACUUACAAGAAGGUUCAUGUGUAUCAGAGAAGCUCUGAACAGUUUAAUGACCAGGACCAGUUUUACAGGGCCCGAACGGAGAUGAGGAAAGACCUGUUGGAAAGUGGAGACCUCAGUCUGACCCUGAAAAAUCCCACAGAUAAAGACACAGGAAAAUACACCUGCAGAGUCUACAGCAAGGAAGGACAUAUCCUGAGAUGGAAAACAGUGCGCCUCAAAGUCAAAGACAAAAGUUCAAGGAUGAAAGCCAGCUCUACGGAUCCAUCAGCUGCAUCAGUCUAUUGACCAAUCUGUGGUUACUGACAUGAUCUGAUUUUGGAUCAAAGACGAAAUGAAAGUGAAGCUUGAAAAGGUGAUAAAAACAUGGAGCAGAUGGGAUUCAAAAGAGCCACAAGUAAGGUUGGCGUUGCUGUGCUGCACAUAUUCAACUGGCUACAGCAGCACCUUCCUGGAUGAUACUGCCCUAUGUUUUUUGCUGUAGUCCUCUGUGUUAGUAACCUCACUGCACUGACAAACGUGACUCAUUGAAAUGUAUGAGGAGGCUGUAUUUUUUCUAAAGUCAGCCUGAACAUGAAGUUAGCUGUCCAGACUAAAGAAAGAGAUGACUGGGCUUUUACCAGUUGAAUUAGUUACAAAUAUAAAUCACUUUUCACAACAUAGUUUUAUCUAAAAGCUACCACAACUUGUGAUUUUGAUUUUUAAGUUUUGAUUUGAUAAUUCCUUUUUAGAUGAAAAUGGAUUCUUGAUUCAAUAAAAAGGGUGAGGGGGCAUCUGUCAGGUCUCACAGAGACAAAAAUUAAUGGUACAGAUUGGCUUUCUUACGUCAUAAUUUUUCAUAAUGGCCUGGUCAAAUGGUAAUGAUGUAUUUGAGCUAAAUAUGUUGACUUCAGAAGAUUCACCCCCUGCAUUGAGAUACAGUGGUAGCAAGCUUGGUGCUGAUGAUCAACAUACAAAAAAACAAAACAAUCAAUAAUUCAAAUUCUAAUCUCAAAGACCCCCUGAUAUUCCUCCAUGGACCCUCCUCAGAGUUGCUAACCUCAGGUUGAAGACCUUGAAUAUACAAUCAUACAAUCAUAUAACCUCUUUGCUCCAGUGCUCCGUAACUCACACCCACUGUACUCCACAGUGUGCAGAAUAUAAAAGCAUAUCUCUUAGCCACAGGGGAAAACAGACAAUAAAACAUGGUCUGUAUGCCACCACAGGGCAGAGACCAUCAUGCUUCACUGCCUUCUCUUUGUGUUGCAGUAAUGCGAUCGCACUUGAGGUCGCAAGGUGUGACACACUGGCCUUACAGUGUGUUGGUGCCUAUAGUGAUGAAGCAGAUCAGUUUCCCUGGUAAUGAUGCAGCCUUUGGACAUAUGGAGCAGGUGUGAGAACAACACAAGCUAUGACUCACUUUGAAUAAUUUACCCACAUAAAUGUGUGUGGGGCUGUGUUUAAGAGUCUUUGUAUGCAAGAGUGCUUAUGUGUGUGCACACAUUAGCCUGAGUGUAUAUUGUAUUAUACAUGUGAAUGCACCUGCAGUUGGGUUUGUGGUGUUUUAAAGAAAUAAGUGGAUGAAAAAGUUUCUUAAUUGUAUCUGAUUUAAAAGCAUUAACAACAUUUCUUUGCUUGUUUUUUUUUCCAAAAUUCCCAAAUAGGAUAAAAAAAACAUGUUUUAUAUACAUAUUGGCCUGAGUACAGUUGUUUGCUUAUCAAUGCCUUUUACCAUGGCUGAAAAAAACAACCAGGUCAACCAGAGCUUUGUAGGCUACAUUAGGAACUGGGACUCAUCUUCUUGUGCUAAAGCCAGAAAAACAGCAAGAGAAUAAAUACCCUGAAAAUGGCAACAA